UGCUUUGGAAAAUAAAAAAAAAAAGAAAACCCAGCCAACCCCCUGGGCCUAAUCCCUUUCCCCCGGCCCGCUUCCCUUUCCCCCCACCGCACCGCAGCGGCCCAAACGGCCCAGGCAGGUGCGCUCCCUCUCCUCUCUCACCGCCAACCGGGCCCCGCGCGUCAGUCUCCCCUAUCCCACCUUCCUUCUUCUUCCCAGCCGUGUCGCGAGCAGGGGAAGCUUCCUUCCCGAGCCAAAACUGUAAUCCCGCGAUCCCUUGCCUUUUUCGAGGAAUCAAACCUCUAUAAAGUUCCUAAGCACCCCGAGGGACCCCUUUCGCACCCACGGAGUUCUAUCCGAGCCCUAGCCGUCGCGUUCUU
rnacentral:lncRNA from 1 species